CACUUGAUUUACCUACUCAACCAACCUUGCUGUGUUACUAAAUCUUGCUCUGUCAAUAAUUUUGGAAGUAAAGCAAAGUGUUUGGGUUUAGUGGUUUAGGAUUAGGUGAUUUCUGGUUAGGUGGUUUUGGGUUCAGUGUUUAGGGUUUAGGGUUUUAAGUUUACUAUUUAGCUUUUUAUUGUUUAGGGUUUAGGGGGUUUAGUGUUUUCAGGGUUUAGGUGUUUACUGUUUACUGAUUUAGGUUAUAGGGUUUAGGGUUUAAAGUUUUGGAUUUAGGGUUUAGGAUGUAGGGUUUACGGUUUUCAGGGUUUAGUUGUUUUAAUGUCUAGGGGUUUAGGUUUUACGGUUUAGGUUUUAGGAUUUAUGAUCUGAGGGUUACGGUAUAGGGUUCUAGCAUUUAGGGAUUUGUUUUCAUGUGCUCAUUAUUGUUCGUUUCCAUUUCUUUGCAUUAAAUCUAAUGUCGAUGAUUUGUUAGGGAAAAAAUAUCGGCUGGUGUCUCCUUUUCACUGAGUGAAAAGUGAUCAAUCCUCAUCCAAUACAUCCGAGCGUGCUUAUUCCUUUGACCUUUACAAGCAGGGAAUGAAACAGAAACUAAAGAUUUCUCCAAGGAUGGUUCUUCUGAAUGUUCUCAAAUCUGUUGGAAUUGUGGAUCCUGUCUUUACAUGUGUUGCCAAAGGGUGCUUAGCCUAGCGGUUAAGACACUCGAGCGGCACUUCACAGGUCCUGAGUUCGAAUCCCCGUGGGAGCGAAUUUCAAGCUGUGGUUAAAAAAAUCCUCUCGCCGGUCCCGUGUGCCAAAGCACUGGUUAAGAGCCGGCCCAGGUCGGCCUGAGGACCGUGUAUGGCCCAGGCAAUUCCCAGGGGUUACGAUUCCCAGUGUCAAGGCGGGGCUGGGGUUCGGAGAUUUUCUCGGUCGGGAAGCCGAGGCUUCUUCUUAGCUUAAUACCGGUGGGGCGGUCUUUCCCCACCCGGCCGAGUCAUUACAUGUGUUGAUUUUUCUGGUUCAUUCCAAUGCACCAUUCAAUUUGAAACUGAUCUGCCCUGUGCUCAGCUACCUCGGAUUACCAAGGCAAGGAUAAUUGGAGAUGUUUGUAGUACUGAGGACUGUGCAGAGGCAAGUGCUAUCAGGAAGGCCUUUGAAAAUCUAGAUUAUAAGCACAAUGUGAGGGUUGUUGACAUCAGCACACACAAAACUAGUGUUUUGAACUUAAGUGUAGGUCUGUCUAUUCAAGGGUGCUAGACGCUAUCAAGUGUGUGGAGAAAAUGCUGGAGCAGUGGUCAGCAUGUUGUGAUGUGCUAUACGGUGUGAAGAAGGCUACUUAUAGCAACAAAUAUUGUGUGUUGCUUACACACAAUGACUAUCUCCAAUGUCCGUUUCUUCUCAAGCUGCACAGGGAAGUUGACACCUUGGCCCGGUCUUCAUUGGAUGAUAUCACAGAUUUCCAGGCUAUGCUGAAACCAGUGAUUACUGAGUUAGAAAACUACCGGGAAGUUUCAAGGUCUAAGCCAUACACUGGAUCCAAGUCUUUUGUUAUCGAUGGGAACUUCUUUGAUGUGGACUUGUUGUGUCUCGUUCUUGAGAAGCUCAAGUUUGAUCCUCCUCAGUUCCUGACAACAAAUGAAGACAAUGAAUUGUCCCAUGGGAAGGUGCAACUUAAUAUUCCUAAGUCACCGCACCAUAGCCACCCUACUGUUCUUAAUGUUGCUGCCUAUUGCCCAAUGUCAUCCCUUUAAGAAGCUAAUAAUUCAGCUGCUAGGGAAGCCAUCCUUUACUUGGAAAGAGAAUUCAAUUUUGAGGUCAUUGGUUACUACCAUGAAGAGUUGGAGCUUAUUCAUGGUGAGCUCGAUUUCCUUGAUGAUCUUAACCAUCGCAUUCUCUUCCUUGGGAGGACUGUCAUCAAAUUCAGGGGUCAAGCUGACCAGAGGUUAAAAACCACUGCUACUGCUGUGAAUGGGCUUGCUGAAAAUGAUGAGUUGUUUGUUAAUGGUACCACAGAUGAGAGACUUUUUCUGAGCAAGUGCCUUAGGUCGGUGGAGUAUGCCAAGGAUAAGUGCUGGGACCUUUAUCUUGCUGCAUCUCACAAGCUGGAGAAUCUGACCUCUGAUUGAAGUUGAAUCAGUAGAUGUGCCACGAACUGCUGUUGAUGGUAGUGUUCUUAGGUUAGUGCCUUAGGUCUGUUGAUGUAGAUGUGCCAUGGAAACUUGAACCUGCUUUUGUUAACUACCUAGGUAGUGACUAACUAUUUGGUAUUGUAAUAUGUGUGUGCUAUACGUCUGGGUUGCCUUAUAUUAUCACUCAUGUGCUACUGGUAUCUAUCUAUGUGCCACUUGAGACUUGAUUGUGGCUCUAUGUUAUGUUUUAUUC